UACGUAGGGUGCGAGCGUUGUCCGGGAUUAUUGGGCGUAAAGAGCUCGUAGGCGGUCUGUCGCGUCGAUCGUGAAAACUUGGGGCUUAACCCUGAGCUUGCGGUCGAUACGGGCAUGACUGGAGUUCGGCAGGGGAGACUGGAAUUCCUGGUGUAGCGGUGAAAUGCGUAGAUAUCGUAAGGAAGACCAGUGGCGAAGGCGAGUCUCUGGACAGCAACUGACGCUGAGGCACGAAGGCCAGGGGAGCAAACGGG
rnacentral:rRNA from 1 species